rnacentral:tRNA from 1 species
GGGCCCGUGGCUUAGACUGGAAAGGUCAACGACCUUCGUUUUCCUUAGUCAAUUAUAGCGCCGCUCUGAUAAGGCGGAUAUCGCGCGUUCAAACAGUAUGGGAUUUGCCCAACUGGAAUUCAUCGCGUCGGGCCCACCA